rnacentral:rRNA from 1 species
AGCCCUUGACAUGUCUAUGACCGGUACCAGAGAUGGAACCUUCCCUUCGGGGCAUAGAGCACAGGUGCUGCAUGGCUGUCGUCAGCUCGUGUCGUGAGAUGUUGGGUUAAGUCCCGCAACGAGCGCAACCCCCGUCCUUAGUUGCUACCAUUUAGUUGAGCACUCUAAGGAGACUGCCGGUGAUAAGCCGCGAGGAAGGUGGGGAUGACGUCAAGUCCUCAUGGCCCUUACGGG